rnacentral:rRNA from 1 species
CUACGGGGUGCUGCAGUGGGGAAUAUUGCACAAUGGGCGCAAGCCUGAUGCAGCCAUGCCGCGUGUAUGAAGAAGGCCUUCGGGUUGUAAAGUACUUUCAGCGGGGAGGAAGGGAGUAAAGUUAAUACCUUUGCUCAUUGACGUUACCCGCAGAAGAAGCACCGGCUAACUCCGUGCCAGCAGCCGCGGUAAUACGGAGGGUGCAAGCGUUAAUCGGAAUUACUGGGCGUAAAGCGCACGCAGGCGGUUUGUUAAGUCAGAUGUGAAAUCCCCGGGCUCAACCUGGGAACUGCAUCUGAUACUGGCAAGCUUGAGUCUCGUAGAGGGGGGUAGAAUUACAGGUGUAGCGGUGAAAUGCGUAGAGAUCUGGAGGAAUACCGGUGGCGAAGGCGGCCCCCUGGACGAAGACUGACGCUCAGGUGCGAAAGCGUGGGGAGCAAACAGGAUUAGAUACUCUGGUAGUC